CGGACGGGUGAGUAAUGCCUAGGAAUCUGCCUGGUAGUGGUGGACAACGUUUCGAAAGGAACGCUAAUACCGCAUACGUCCUACGGGAGAAAGCAGGGGACCUUCGGGCCUUGCGCUAUCAGAUGAGCCUAGGUCGGAUUAGCUAGUUGGUGAGGUAAUGGCUCACCAAGGCGACGAUCCGUAACUGGUCUGAGAGGAUGAUCAGUCACACUGGAACUGAGACACGGUCCAGACUCCUACGGGAGGCAGCAGUA
rnacentral:rRNA from 1 species